GAUGAACGCUGGCGGCGUGCCUAAUACAUGCAAGUCGAGCGAACAGACGAGGAGCUUGCUCCUCUGACGUUAGCGGCGGACGGGUGAGUAACACGUGGAUAACCUACCUAUAAGACUGGGAUAACUUCGGGAAACCGGAGCUAAUACCGGAUAAUAUAUUGAACCGCAUGGUUCAAUAGUGAAAGACGGUUUUGCUGUCACUUAUAGAUGGAUCCGCGCCGCAUUAGCUAGUUGGUAAGGUAACGGCUUACCAAGGCAACGAUGCGUAGCCGACCUGAGAGGGUGAUCGGCCACACUGGAACUGAGACACGGUCCAGACUCCUACGGGAGGCAGCAGUAGGGAAUCUUCCGCAAUGGGCGAAAGCCUGACGGAGAAACGCCGCGUGAGUGAUGAAGGUCUUCGGAUCGUAAAACUCUGUUAUUAGGGAAGAACAAAUGUGUAAGUAACUAUGCACGUCUUGACGGUACCUAAUCAGAAAGCCACGGCUAACUACG
rnacentral:rRNA from 1 species